CGUGAACAGGUACUUUAUCUUGAAGGUGGGUGAAAAGGCCUGUGUCUAAAGUAUGACUCUUUACACGUGCCAGCCUGGGUUAUAUGGAGUAAGUCACCACACUGGGGAGCGUCUUUGCAGAGCACAGCAUGACGAUGUGAUUGGAUUUCCUUUGUAGCGUGGUGCAUAGAGUAGGCAUCUUCUGAGGUCAUUGCUACAUGGAAAGAUAUGGACGAAACGAAGCAGCCCCUUCAUAUCCCAGCCUCGAGGAACACUUUGGGAAACACUAAGGCACAUGAGUGGGGGAGAAAUACCAACAGUGAUGUCGCUGCUGAUUUAAGAAGCUGUGCUAUCAGACGAUUUGUGCACGUGACUGCUGCUGAUCUUGCCACAAGGCGGCGCUGCUGGAGGCCACCGGAAGCUGGUUUUAAAAGCUCUGCUGUACAAAUAACAAUUCCAGAGGGAAGCUUACGUGUCUUUAAGCCCUACAGGUUUUGAUGUCGGCAGAAGCCAAAUACUCUGCCUUUUAUGACAACGGCAUUGAUGACUCCGUUUCCCCCAGCACGAGGGUGAAGAAGACCAGCAAUCUCCCUCCCCGCCGCCGUCACUUCUGCGCAGAAUCGUUUCCUCGCAGAUGGAAGCGAUUUUUCAUUAGCGUAAAUGGAUGCAUGUUUUAUAAACACCGGCCAUGUGUUUCAUAUUCCAUUCAUGUUUAUUUACACAUCCUGUAAACACGUGUAUACAAAGCCACACGGACACGUGGGGGCGGGGAGGGCAUGGAACACUACGCAUGGAAAAUACCACACUAGGCGGGUGUCCCUCUGAGGGUAAAUCCACCACCCAAAGAUUCCCAUCUACCUUCUUACUACCUUUGGGGCGGUUGGGGACAAGGGAGGAGGGGAGGGUUGUCCUAUAGGGACUCGGACAUUCAGAUUUUCCUCAGCCUCUUUUCUCCCCUUCAGAUGCCCAGCUUUCUUAAGGCUCUGAUUUAUUGAAAAUAAUAAUAAUAAUAAUAAUAAUAAUAAUAAUAAUAAUAAUAAUAAAGUAUCAAUGAUCUCCAC
rnacentral:lncRNA from 1 species